rnacentral:rRNA from 1 species
ACUGAGCGGCGGACGGGUGAGUAACGCGUGGGUAACCUGCCUCAUACAGGGGGAUAACAGUUAGAAAUGACUGCUAAUACCGCAUAAGACCACGGUACCGCAUGGUACAGUGGUAAAAACUCCGGUGGUAUGAGAUGGACCCGCGUCUGAUUAGGUAGUUGGUGGGGUAACGGCCUACCAAGCCGACGAUCAGUAGCCGACCUGAGAGGGUGACCGGCCACAUUGGGACUGAGACACGGCCCAA